GUCGGGAAUUUUGGGCAAUGGGCGAAAGCCUGACCCAGCAACGCCGCGUGAGGGAUGAAGUAUUUCGGUAUGUAAACCUCGAAAGAAUGGGAAGAAUAAAUGACGGUACCAUUUAUAAGCUCCGGCUAACUACGUGCCAGCAGCCGCGGUAAUACGUAGGGAGCAAGCGUUGUUCGGCUUUACUGGGCGUAAAGGGCGCGUAGGCGGCGCGGUAAGUCACUUGUGAAAUCUCUGAGCUUAACUCAGAACGGCCAAGUGAUACUGCUGUGCUAGAGUGCGGAAGAGGCAACCGGAAUUCUUGGUGUAGCGGUGAAAUGCGUAGAUAUCAAGAGGAACACCUGAGGCGAAGUCGGGUUGCUGAGCCGACACUGUCGCUCAUGCGCGAAAGCCAGGGGAGCAAACG
rnacentral:rRNA from 1 species